rnacentral:rRNA from 1 species
UACGAAGGGGGCUAGCGUUGCUCGGAUUUACUGGGCGUAAAGGGCGCGUAGGCGGACAGUUAAGUUGGGGGUGAAAGCCCGGGGCUCAACCUCGGAAUUGCCUUCAAUACUGGCUGUCUUGAGUGUGAGAGAGGUGUGUGGAACUCCGAGUGUAGAGGUGAAAUUCGUAGAUAUUCGGAAGAACACCAGUGGCGAAGGCGACACACUGGCUCACUACUGACGCUGAGGCGCGGAAGCGUGGGGAGCAAACAGG